GGUUUAACUCCAAAAAAUGUGCUGUAAAAAUAUAAGAUUCCUACACAAAAAUCAACUAAAAGGAAAACAAAUGCAGUAACAAAAAUCUAACUUGCACUAGAAAAAUAAAAAAAUCAUCUAGAAUAAAAAUUACAAGUCCCAUAAAAAUCAAAAGUUAAAAAGUUCAAUUUUUAUUGAAGUCAUGCACCGACUCCAUGUUCAUCAUUGCCUUCCCC
rnacentral:lncRNA from 1 species